CCCUUAGAUGUUCUGGGCCGCACACGCGCUACACUGAAGGGAUCAGCGUGUUUUCCCUUUCCGAGAGGAACGGGUAACCCGCUGAACCCCCUUCGUGGUAGGGAUCGGAGCUUGCAAUUGUUCUCCGUGAACCAGGAAUUCCCAGUAAGCGCAAGUCAUAAGCUUGCGUUGAUUACGUCCCUGCCCUUUGUACACACCGCCCGUCGCUACUACCGAUUGAACGUUUUAGUGAGGUAUUUGGACUGGGCCUUGGGAGGUUUCGGCCUCCCUUGUUGCUCGGAAAGACUCCCAAACUUGAGCGUUUAGAGGAAGUAAAAGUCGUAACA
rnacentral:rRNA from 1 species